AUUUAUUUUUAUUUUAUGUACAUGAGUGUUAUACCUGCAUGUGGGUAAGUGCACCCGUGUUGUGCAGUGUCUCCAGAGGAUGGAAGAGGCUCUCGGAUCUCCUGGAACUGGAGUUACAGACAGCUGCCAUGUGGGUGCUGGGAUUCGAACGUGGGUCUUCUGCAAGAACAGCUAGUGUUCUUAACGCCUGAACCAUCUCUCCAGCCCCCAAUCAGCAUAAUUUAAAGGGCAGAAACAGAGUUUAUGAUGGGGAACAGAGAAAAUAAAAUUGAAUAACAGAAAAUAGAAUUCAGAAAAGUAUAAAGAAUAGUAUUUUAAAGGCUGUCCUUCCCAACAUCUUUUUGCAUUAUAAAGCUAGAGUCAUAGAAUCUGUCAGGAUGCAAAGCCUGGCGUUUCAGUGCUCUUGCUAACUCUGGUCUGCAUGUUUCAUGUGUGUCAGAAUGUUGUGUUAAGAGUGAAGUGAUCAGGGCUAGAGAGCUGGUUCAGUGGUUAAGAGCAUAGACUGCUCUUACAGUGUAUCCAGGUUCAAUUCCCAGCACCCACAUGGUGGCUAACAACCAUCCGUAACUCUAACUCCAGUUCUAGGGGAUCCAACUCUGCCUUCUGACCUCCAUGGGCAUUGCACAACACGGGUACACGUAGACACAUGCAGGCAAUACGGUCUAAAAAAAAAAAAAGAAAAAAGUGAAGUCAGCUGGUACUCGGGUGGCUGUUUCCCCUAGUUACUCUUUCCUUGUUAUUGGGUUGUUUCAGGUGGAGUUUUGAUGAGACAGUGACUCAUUUUAUCUAUCAAGGUAGGCCAAAUGAUAGCAAUCGAGAGUAUAAGUCUGUGAAAGAAAAAGGAGUUCACAUAGUUUCAGAGUAUUGGCUUCUAGAGUGUGCCCAGGAAUAUAAGCAUCUUCCUGAAUCUCUUUAUCCACACACUUACAAUCCCAAAAUGAGCCUGGACAUCAGUGCUGUGCAAGAUUGCCAACUCUGUAACACCUGGGCACCCUCAGCUGUUUCUGCGUCUAAGGACAGUGAGCCAAAUCAUUUGCCUGUAGAAGAAAAUGAAGUAGAUAAUAUGACCACAGAUAAUCAAGAAUCAGCACUAUCCAUUGAAAAUGGAAGGAAUGAUUGUAAUGGAGGUAAAACACUUGUUUAUUUUUUAGAGCAUUUGUUUCAACUUAAAACCCUAGCUGCAUUUACCACCAACCAAAGAGCUGGCUUGGCCUUCAGCUUCAAAACCAGACACUGCCUUCUCUCCAGCUAUGAAGGCCCUGGAUGGAAUCUUCUUCCAGUCUAAGCUGCUGUUCAGUGCAGUCACCUGCAGCAGCCAGCUGGGUCUCUGGAUAACUUCCUGCAGCAUUUUCAUUUGCACUUGCUGCCUCACCUGUACUUGCAUGUUGGGAUAGCGGCUUCUUUCCUUAAACCUCAUAAGCCAACUUCUCUUGAAUUUGUACUUCUAUUUCCCAACCUCUUAGCAUUCAUAGAAUUGAAGAAUUGGUCCUUGCUUUGGACUAGGCAUUGACUUAAGUUUGGGGUUGACUUGAUCUUCUGUCCAGACCACUAGUACUUUUCUUCAUAUCUGAUAAAGCUGUGUGUUCUCUGGAUUGUCACUUUUAAUUUCCACCAAGUUUCCCUUUGUAUUUACAAUUUGGUUCUUUGGCAUAAGAGGCCUGGCUUUUGAUCUCACUUGGCUUUCAAGCAUGCCUUCUUCACGAAGCUUAAUCGUUUCUACUUUAAUUUAGACCUAGAGGUGUAUGGCUCUUCCUUUCACUUGGAUAUUUACAAGCUAUUAUAGGAUAUUAAUU
ensembl:lincRNA